CACCGGGUGAAGACAGGGUAGACCACGAAUGUGAGCAUCAGCUCCCUUGGGUGGGUGCCCUGAAGCACUGAAGUAGGGAAGCGGAAGAGUAGAGGAAACCCACCAAGGUGAAGUGACUCCGGAGUUGUUUGUUUGCUGGGCGCUUGGAACCUCCAGAAACAUUCCACCUCUCAGGCUGUGAAGCUAAGACUUACUGCCAUUGAAAAUGAGAAGAAGAGACUAGUAGAGACAGCUGAGACCAAACACUUUAAUUGAGUCAACAGAAGGAUUCAAUUUAAACCUCCAACAAACAGAAUGGCUGUAAGACAAGUUGCAUUUGAUUGGCAAGAACCAAACACUUGAUGUGUCUGGAAUUGGUAGCUUCUUGGUCUCACUGACUUCAAAAAUGAAGCCACGGGCUCUUGCGGUGAGUGUUACAGUUCUUAAGGGUGGCGUGUCCGGAGUUUUUUCCUUCUGAUGUUCAGCUGUGUUCAGUUUCUUCCUUCUGGUGGGUUCGUGGUCUCGCUGGCUCAGGAGUGAAGCUGCAGACCUCUGUGGUGAGUGUUACACCUCUUAAGGUGGCGCGUGUGGAGUUGUUCGCUCCUCCUGGUGGGUUUCUGGUUUCACUGGCUUCAGGAGUGAAGCUGCAGACCUUCGCCGCGAGUGUUACAACUCAUAAAGGCAGCGUGGACCCAAAGAGUGAAAGAACAAACCUUCCACUAGUGUGGAAGGGGACCCGAGUGGGUUGCCACUGCUGUCUGGGGCAGCCUGCUUUUAUUCUCUUAUCUGGCCCCCGCCCACAUCCUGCUGAUUUGUCCAUUUUACAGAGAGUUGAUUGGUCUGUUUUACAGAGAGCUGAUUGGUCUGUUUUGACAGGGUGCUGAUUGGUGCGUUUACAAUCCCUGCGCUAGACACAAAAGUUCUCCACCUCCCUGCUAGAUUAGCUAGAUACAGAUGUCGACUGGUGUAUUUACAAACCCUGAGCUAGACACAGAGUGCUGAUUUGUGCAUUUACAAACCUUGAUCUAGAUACAGAGUGCCGACUGGUGCAUCCACAAUCCCUUAGCUAGACAUAAAGAUUCUGCAAGUCUCCACCAGAUUAACUAGAUACAGAGUGCCAAUUGGUGCAUCCACAAACCCUGAGCUAGACACAGGGUGCUGAUUGGUGUGUUUACAAACCUUGAGCUAGAUAAAGAGUGCUGAUUGGUGUGUUUACAAACCUUGAGCUAGAUACAGAGUGCUGAUUGGUGUAUUUACAAUCUCUUAGCUAGACAUAAAGGUUCUCCAAGUCCCAACCCAAUUAACUAGAUACAGAGUGCCAAUUGGUGCAUUCACAAACCCUGACCUAGACACAGGGUGCUGAUUGGUAUGUUUACAAACCUUGAGCUAGAUACAGAGUGCCGAUUGGUGCAUUCACAAUCCCUUAGCUAGACAUAAAGGUUCUCCAAGUCCCCACUAGACUCAGGAGCCCAGCUGGCUUCACCCAGUGGAUCCUGCACCAGGGCCGCAGGUGGAGCUGCCUGCCAGUCCCGCACCUUUCACCUGCACUCCUCAGCCCCAGUGGGCCAGCACUACUGGGGGACCCGGCUCACCCUCCGCAGCUGCUGGCCCGGGUGCUAAGCCCCUCAUUCCCUUUGGCAGGUGGGGCCGGCGGGCCGGCUGGCUGCUCCAAGUGAGGGGCCUGCGGAGCCCACACCCACCUGGAACUCGUGCAGGCCCGCAAGCGCCGCAGGCAGCCCCAGUUCCUGCCUGUGCCUCUCCCUCCACACCUCCCUGCAAGCGGACGGAGCCAGCUCGGGCCUCGGCCAGCCCAGAGAAGGGCUCACACGGUGCAGUGGUGGGCUGAAGGGCUCCUCAAGUGCGGCCAGAAUGGGCGCCGAGGCCAAGGAGGCAUUGAGAGUGAGUGAGGGCUGCGAGGGCUGUCAGCGUGCUGUCACCUCUCACUGAGAGAAAAAUGGCUUUAGAUUUGACUUAUAUUGGCAGUGCUUUGUGGAACCACUUAGUGGGAGGAUGCAGGUUAUGACAUGGAGCAUUUUUUUACAUAGAAGGGAAGAUAUUAAAACACUUCCUGCCCAGAAGUGAGAAACUUAUAGAGGACCUGGAGAUGAAAGCAACACAUGGAGAUG
rnacentral:lncRNA from 1 species